rnacentral:rRNA from 1 species
GUAGGGAAUCUUCCACAAUGGACGAAAGUCUGAUGCAGCGACGCCGCGUGAAGGAAGACGUACUUCGGUAUGUAAACUUCUAUCAGCAGGGAAGAAGAUGACGGUACCUGACUAAGAAGCCCCGGCUAACUACGUGCCAGCAGCCGCGGUAAUACGUAGGGGGCAAGCGUUAUCCGGAUUUACUGGGUGUAAAGGGAGCGUAGACGGUGAAGCAAGUCUGAUGUGAAAACCCGGGGCUCAACUCCGGGAUUGCAUUGGAAACUGUUUUACUUGAGUGCUGGAGGGGCAAGCGGAAUUCCUGGUGUAGCGGUGAAAUGCGUAGAUAUCAGGAAGAACACCGGUGGCGAAGGCGGCUUGCUGGACAGUAACUGACGUUGAGGCUCGAAAGCGUGGGGAGCAAACAGGAUUAGAAACCCGGGUAGUCC